CCGCGCUCCUGCUCGUGAUCGUCUUCUCAACCUUCACCGGGCAGGCGGAUGAAAGAAGAACCCCCGCGAUGACGUGAAUCGCGGGGGUUCUUC
rnacentral:ncRNA from 1 species